rnacentral:rRNA from 1 species
AAAAUGCGGUCCAAUUCACUAAAAAUGGUCAAAUCACCAUAAAAGCAAAAGUGGGGUAUCAUCAGACUGAAUUUGCCAUUAGCGAUACUGGUAUUGGUAUGUCCAAGGAUCAGAUGAAGAAUAUUUGGGAGCGGUAUUACAAGGCCGAUCCGUCACGUAAAAACACCAAAUAUGGUGAGUCCGGUUUGGGCAUGGCGAUUGUGCAUCAGUUAAUGGGGCAACACGGUGGCACCAUUCAUGUUGAUUCGACCCUAGGCAAAGGUACAACCUUUACGUUGACCUUCCCAGAUGAAGCGACAGCGCCUAAGCAAAAGCAGCCAGGAGCCGAUCAGCAGACCUCAUCAUGAAGAAGAGACAAGUUCAAGCAGCGUCAAGAUACACCAGAAAAAGGCCAUUAGGACCGUUCGAAAUGAUCAUCACGCUCACGUGAAUUGCCCGAUUUUGUUAAGCAAAAGUUUUGCCGCGUGUGAUGGCUGGCAGGGCUUUUACAAUGCAGUAGCUGCUUAGCCAAAAUUAUAUAACAAUUUUGGCUACUGGGUUGCGUCCAAAUCCUCACAACGACGGCUUUGCAUGGAAACGUGUAUAAUAGAAUUAAUAAACUAAAAGGAGACGCAUAUGACCAUUCGACGAAUACAACAAAAUGAUUUUGCUGAUGUAGAUGCCUUGUUACAUGCAGCAUUCAAUGCCAGCAAUCGCGGUUAUAACGGUGAGGCAGAGCUAGUUGCCGGACUGCGGCGUGAUCCUAAUUAUGAUUCAGCCCUUGAAGUUGUGGCGAUGAUGGACGGUCAUUAGGUCGGCUACGGGCUAAUGACCGCGGCCAGCAUUACGCCAGAUGCCCAUAUGCAAGGGGUGGCGCUGGCACCGUUAGCAGUUGCCCCUGAAUAUCAAGGCGGUGGCAUUGGGGUCGCGAUUGUGACUGAACUCGACAUGCGAGCAACUGAUUUGCGGCGUGAUUUUGUCAGUGUUGUCGGCGAUCGACAAUUCUUUGGCCGACUUGGCUUUCAAAAAGCAGCCAAGUACAAACUCGAUCCGCCUUUCCCAGUCGUCACUGAAGACCAUUUGAUUAAGGAACUUGUGCCUGGUGUUUUGGCAAGUGUUCGCGGCAAGGUCAAUUAUCCAGCACCUUUUUUGACCCAGAUAGCGAAUUAAUCAUUGAGACCACCACAUUAAAAAAUGAGCCGCGUUGUUCAAAACGCGACUCAUUUUUUAAUUAUUUUUGUUUUUCUUGAUCCUUGUCGUGAUGAUGAGCCAUGCGGAUUGACCCAAUACACAGACCGCCAGUGACUAAAGCACUUCCCAUGAGUGCAUUGUCGCUAACAUGCGGCCAGCAUUCAAUGAAGACGACAAAGCCAAUGAUGACCGCGACUACCACAAAAUGCCAUGAGAAAUGAUGUGGAUGAUAUGUAUGCUGUACCUUCAUGUGAAGGCCCCCUUAUAAAUGCGUUCGCAGGCGCAGAAACCUGUCCAUAAACAUUUGAAACCCAACUGGUCAAAGACCCAUUCAUUUAAGCUUCAAGUCACGGAUGUUCAGGUUUCUAAACGUGUCCGCGCACGCUUUGUAUGAAUUA